AUGUUUGAUAAUAAUAAUAAUAAUAAUAAUAAUAAUAAUAAUAAUAAUAAUAAUAAUAAUAAUAAUUUAUUUAUACCCCACCACCAUCUCCCCAUGGGGAUUCGGGGUGGCUCACAUGGGGCAAGGCCCAACUAGCACAAUUUACAAAAACAACAGCAUAAAUACAUUGAACAAUAUACAAAAAAUAAUAAUAAUAAAAGCACAGUAAGACAAUAAAACAAGUUAAUACAGCAGUAAAUCGAUUGAUGCUCAUUUGCGUUAUGGUUUUCAUCUAUGAAAUCUUGGAGGAUAUGCCACAUUGAGAAGGCUGCAUGAUCUUCAUCCCUGUUCUAAUCUAUCAGAGUAAUGUUGAGAUUGCAAAACUCAUUGAGAUUUUUGGAACACAAUUUCUGAUUAAGAUUUACAGUGUCAUUAUUUUCAGCUUGCUUGGAGCUAUAAUUAUUCCUGUCAUCCUGUAUAUGUGUGCUUUGUGUUUGAUGUGUAGUUUUGUUGUUUUGUCCUAGGCCGAAAUUUCAUUACCCUUUUAUAUAUAUAGAUUAGACAUGGCUUGUGUAGAAAGCUUGCUUGGGCACAGUUGGAGAAGUCUUCAGGUUUGUGAGCUCUUGCCAAUUUUAGAAUUCAUCAGUACUAUAAUAAACAAACCAUCUGGAGUAUACACUCCUUUCCAUGGUCUGUUGAAUGCUUACACAGUUACUGAGUGUUUUCUUCUAUUUCUGUAAAAAACAUUAGUCUUUUUUUAAAGCCAGAAACACCUGUUUCAACAUUCCUUGGAGGGGACAUUUCCUUUGCGAAUGAUGAAUGCCCACCUGUGGCAUUUACUACUGAAUCUAAACAGUCUGCUAAUGUGAAAGCGAAACAUGUUUCCUUCCUACAAGAGUUCACUUUUUCACAGAUGUUUGGGAUGCAUGCUAAAUAUCUCAGUGUGUGUAUUGGGCAGUAUUCAGAUCUACAUCCGAGGCAUAUGCAAAAAUAACAACCAAUGAAGUUUGUUAGUGGUACUUUUAGGUUGCACAUUUACUCAGAAGGAAACUCCUGUGAACACAUCAAGACUAAGUUCUAACUGAACUCAUAGAAAAUUAUCCUGUUGAUAUAACAAAUAAAUGCAUGAAGUAAAAGCUGGAAGAAUUUUAGAGGAAUCAAAAGAGGGGAACUGCAAAGGUGUUUGAGAUUAACUAGGGCAAUGUUGGGUUGCUGUGAGCUUUUUAGGCUGUAUGGCCAUGUUCCAGUAGCAUUCUCUCCUGAUGUUUCACCUGCAUCUGUGGCAAGCAUCCUCAGGUUUGUUCAGAGGCACAUGAAGUGAGUGAUGGAAUCCUGGCGACCAACAAAACAACAAAACUAAACACCCCACAACCUCGAAAAUUGACAACACGACCCCUCAUCCAUGCCUCUAGGUUGAUACAACAAAAAGAAAAGAAAAAUAAAGUCCUAAUUAGAGGAAGAGGAAUAAUUGUUUUUAUCCAAUUGCUGCCCGUUAGAAGGCUAAGCUCUGCACACUUGGUCUCCUAGCAACCCAAUCAGCCCAGGGGACAGGCAGAGUUAGGUCUCACUUAGGCCUCUUCCACACUGCCUAUAAAAUAUGGAUUAUCAGAUUUGAACUGGAUUAUAUGGCAGUGUAGACUCAAGGCCUUUCCACACAGCUAUAUAACCCAUUUAUAAUCUCAUAUUAUCUGCUUUAUGAGCUCAACCCCCAAAGUCAGACAUGACUGAACUUAAUGUCAGGAGAAAACCUUUACCCUUUACCUUAACUACCACCAAUUCCUCAAUACUUUAUUUCCCAUACCACCUUACUUCGCCACAGCAACACAUGGCCGGGCAUAGCUAGUGUGUGUGUGUGUGUGUGUGUGUGUGUGUGUGUGUGUGUGUGUGUGUGUAUAGCCCCUGGUGGCGCUGAGCUGCUGAACUUGCAGAACGAAAGGUCCCAGGUUCAAAUCCCGGGAGCAGAAUGAGCACCCGCUGUUAUCCCCAGCUCCUGCCAACCUAGCAGUUCAAAAACAUGCAAAUGUUCAAAAUACAGGAAAAGAGAUUUCACCUGACAUUAGGAAGAAUUUCUUGACUAUAAGACUAUUCAGCAGUGGAACUCACUGCCUCAGAGUAUGGUGGAGGCUUCUUCUUUGAAAGCUUGCAAAUAGAGGCUGCAUGACCAUCUGUCAAGGUGCUUUGAUUGUACCUAUCCUGCAUGGCAGUGGGUUGGAUUGGAUGGCCCAUGUAGUCUCUUCCACCUCUAUGAAUCUAUGAUUCUAUCUCACUCUUGUAUCUCUUUCUUGUAUCUUUCCUUCUCCUGUUGAGAAUAUAUGUAAUUUGCUAUGCCAAGAGCGCAGAGAGAUGGGCAGAGACCAAGAGAAAUCUUUGGGAGACAUGAUGUCAUUGUUGCAAUAUUUACAGUCUGUGUGAAUCUCUGUUUUUUUCAUCUCAGUAGUGCUUAUAGUACAACCCCUUUUUUUCCAUCAUGGCAAUAAAUGGGAUUUGGUGGGGGUUGAUCAGAGUAGCAAAAAUAUAAAAUACUAACUCCCAAGUCCUUUGUGCCAACAAUUAACUUUGUUCCGGGAAAAUCGCACUCUUAAAUACAAAUAGAUUAUUGUGAAUAAUAUCAUAAGUCUUCUAAUAUGGAAAGUGCUACAUUAAACUCUAGUCUAUUUUGGGGAAAGAAGAAGUGCUUGAUGUAAUAUUGAAGAGUGCUUGGGUCAAAAAGGCAGCACUUCCUUUCCAAAUGGCCGGUUUUUAAUGUGCAGGUUUGCAACAAUGAAACAGCUGGGUGGUUUUGAAACAAAACAAUUAUAAAACACAGUAAAAAACAAUUAUCAUUAUAAGACAAUUGAGGUGCCUUUUACAGUGCACUGUGGGAUACGCUUUGUUUGAAGAGAUAGAGUAACAUAAAAUUUUGCCUUGGAAAUGGAGUACGUUUUUGUUAGCUUCUUUUAGAAGCCUACUCUUGCUCAGCAUGAAAAAGUCAGCCCUCAAGGUCACAAUACAAGUGAUAUAUGACCACUGAGUGGAGGAAUUAAUUUUUAUCUACAAGAUGGAUGAGCAAAAAAAGAAAUAUUUCUUUGAACAGACAGGCUCUCUCUUUGCUUGCUUUCUUGUUCUGGAUUGGAUGCUUUUUAAUUGCAUCUACAAGGUUGUACUUCACUAUAAGACAUUUACAUUGUACUAAGGCACCAGGGCUACGGCUUCUUUCAUUUUCAUAGGAGAAGUGUCAUAGCUUCAGUCCACUAUAGUGAGUUGUCAAGCCUCAUAAACCUAAAGAUGUGGAACUAAAAGUAGUCAAGAACAAAGAAAAGAUACUCUGCAUGUUCGAAGAGGUUGAUAACUUGGGCGGCAUACAGGGAGCACACUAAUACUCUAUUAUGCCAGCUCCACUGCCUGCCAAUAUGUUACCGAGCCCAAUUCAAAGUGCUGGUCUUGACCUAUAAAGCCAUAAACGGUUUGUCAGGGGUGACGACGGUGGGGUGAGACCCUGGUUGCCGUGCAGAGUGGGUUCCAAAACUCAUCAUCCCUGUCUCACCUCCUUCUCCAGACUGUCUUCCCAUGCGGAGAAUCAGCACUGGUCAACAAACUCUCCAGCAGGCGAAGGGGUCAGUUAAAAACCAACUGUUGUUAAACUUUAUUUACAUAUCUAUUUACAUUUGCAUUUCCUGGCUUCAGAGCAUAGCAUUCAUAGUCCAUCUCCAGCGAAUGCUCAUGCCGAAACACACACACUAACAGACAACACUCCCUGAAUUCCACAGACCAAGAAGGAAGUCCUGGUCAAACAAACUUGACCCCAUUGGUCCUGUGAUACGUCAAUCAAAGCAGGUUCUUAUUAACUCCAUAACUACUGAAAUGCCUUGCCAAAACUAACACAGAAGGCAUUUCUAACAGCCUAGAUUGAUUUUAACAUUUCACACAAUUCACAAUACCCUGACACGGUUCUGGUCCAACUUACCUGUCCGAACGUAUCUCCUCCUAUG
ensembl:lncRNA